GCCCGGUAUCGGCCGACCCAGGGGUAUCAUUCCGACCGGGACGCUCCGGUGGACGCCUUUCAAACCGGCUAAGAUCCAAAGGCUAAGGCCGUCUUCGCCCGCCAUCCGGCAGGGGCGGCACGAAAACCAAAGGACGGAUAAGCGUGUAGAAAGCCGCCUGGUGCGGCGUUUGGACAGCGGUUCGAGUCCGCUCACCUCCACAG
rnacentral:tmRNA from 1 species